AACCCUUGUGUGAGUGCCUUUGCCUAAUUUGUAACAAAGCCUUACAGACAGUGCAAACAGGAAAUCCUCUUUUGCAACCCAGAACUCCUUGUUGAGUAUGAGUUUUUGAUACAUGGAAGAAGGAAUAUG
ensembl:snoRNA